rnacentral:misc_RNA from 1 species
GUCGCGCUGNAUCUUUGAGACAAGCAUAUGACUACUGGCAGGAUCAACCAGGUAGCAUUCCUUCACGACGUCCGCCAAGCAUGAUCCAUCGUGAAAGCCCGAGAGCUCCACAUGGUCAAAAACAAGGCAAGAGCGUCAUUUCGAUAAAAGCGAUAAACGCUUGAGAUUGGGAACGAGCAAGGGCCGAUGACCCUAGCACCCCCGAAAAAAGUUCCGCAUCCGAGAGAACAAGUAAAGCACUUGCGGUCCGUCCGAACAAUCCAAUGAAGAUGUGUUCGGGGAACACAAGCCCCACUAUGUGAUCCAACCGAGCGCCCAAAGAGGGUGUCGUGUUGAAUUAGGCAACGAUAGGCACAAAUUUCCAUCACGAUAGGGUAUGCAACACAGGAACCCGCUUUUUGCAUCCACAUUAGCUCAUGGAGCAAAACUUGAUCGAAAGCGAGGGAAGCAGUUCGAUGCACCAGCACGGAGCCUGCCAACACACACUUUCUUAUCACC